rnacentral:lncRNA from 1 species
AUGGCGGCGACGACGACGGCGCCAUGUGCAGCGCGCAGCGCAUCGCGUUGCGUUGCGUGGCAUAUCGCAUUAUUGUUUCUGUGGACGCAGACCAAGUCCAAAACGAUCGAGCAGGGUGUCGGGUUGGUUUCUUGGUUCGGUGUGCAGACUAUUGACAGGUUCGAGAUCACUGACGACCAGAACAUCGCCGGCGAGAUGCUGACACGGCGGCGAAGGAUGCUCUACCGUGUAGUAGCAUCACCGGUGUUGCCAAUACCAAGUGAAGGGGUCAUGGAUGUGCUGGGAUAUGAUAUGGUUUUACGUGUAAAACACUAGCAGAAAAAAG